UUGUAAAAUAUAGGGAUCAUAAACGAUAUGGAGUAUACAAAUAAGUAAUAAAAGGGAUUCGUAAGGAUACCUAGCAGAUAUACUUGAAAGGAUAUAUAUAUAGAAAGUUGGAGUGAAUAAUUUGUAAACUCUGACAGUCCUAUGGAAAACCAAAAUAUAUUGAAUACGUUGGGAAUUAAAACAUUUUAGUACCAACAGGAAAGGAAAUCAAACGAGACUUCUGGAGUAAUGGUGAGUGAAACAGAAUAAGCCAUACUCUCCCGUAAGGGAUAGGGACGAAAAUCGUAAGAUUUUUGUAACUUGUUAAACUAUCUACAACUAGAACUGUAAAUAUUGUGGAAUUCAAUAAUAGCUAAUAAUAGCUACCAAAGACGGUGACAGUCCGGAUAUGCAUUUGCCAAAAGGCAUUGUUCUAAGAUAGUAUUAAGAGUAUAACUAAGUAAUAUGAAGACGGCUGCUUUGUAUGAAUUAGACGGGAUACCAUUCUCGAAGGCUAAGUAUAGUAUAUCUAGCGAUAGUGAAGAGUAACGUGAGUGAAAGGUGAAAAGUAAGUGUAUGACUAGUGAAAUAGAUCUUGAAUUACGAAUCUUAUAAGCAGUCAGAGUCUGAUAGAAUCAGAUGAUGGCGUACCUUUUGCAUAAUGGGUCAGCAAGUUAAUUUGCAGUGCAAGAUGAAAAAUCUUAGUGAAAACGUCUAGCUAAUAAUCCGAUAGGAUUAAUGGUUGGGUUAAGUACUUCAAAUUAGAUCCGAAACCAGAUGAUCUUUUUAUGGCCAGGUUUAAAUGGACCGAACGUAUGAAUGUUGCAGUAUUCUGCGAUGAGCUGUGAAAAGGGGUGAAAUGCCAAUCUAAUCUGGUGAUAGCUGAUAUUCUGCGAAAUCUAUUUCAGUAGAAAGUAUAUGCAGACCUAUCUUUGUAUAGCACUGAUUUCCAUUUCUCUUCCUCGAAUUGGUAAAACAAUUCUUGGAGUAUAGAAUAAAUUAGGGGGUUAUAAACUCUACUAUUGGAAGUUAACCUCAGAAGAAGAUAUGGUUGGUCAUGUACUGACAGUCUAUUUGUGAUAAGGUAAAUAGACGAAAGGGAAACAGCCCAGAUCACAUAUUAAGGUACCCCAAAUGAUAUUAAGUGAAAUUAAGAGAGUUUUGUAUCUAAUACAACUAUGAAGUAAGCUUGGAAGUAGCUAUCUUUUAAUGAAAGUGUAACAACUCAAUAGUCUAAAUGAUACAAAGCAUCGAAGAUUUAUCGGGUCUAGAUAUCAAACCUAAAUUGUGAUGCUAAUGAAAUGAGUAUAAUAUAUACUGAUUUUUAGCAAGGUAGCAGAACACUUAGUAUUAAGGUUGAAGAAUUCUAUUAAUAGAAUUUGGACUAUACUAAAGAGAUAAUGCUGGCAUGAGUAACGAUUAAAGGGUUAUAAUACCCUUCGCCGAAUACGAAAGGUUUUCAUGAAAAAGGUAAUCUGUCAUGAAUUACGCGGAUUCUAAGGAUACUAGCGAAAAGUUAUUAUCCGAUGAAAUGUAGAAAGAAUCUUCCAGAUUGGAACGAGAAAAAUCUUUCUUUAGAAAUAUAUCCGUACCUUAAACCGACACAGGUUCGUAGGUAGAGAAUACUAAGGCGUAGAGAUAAGGCUAGUGAAGGAACUCGGCAAAAUGCUUCCGUAAGUUCGACGAUAAGGAAGGAGAUUUGUAAGUCUUCGGACACAAAUCUUAGCAUAAAAGUGGGGGCUCCGACUGUUUACUAAAAACACAGCAACUUGCUAAGACGAAAAGUACUUGUAUAAGUUGUGAACUCUGUCCAAUGCCAAUCCGUGUAAGGAAGGUGAUAUUCUUUCGGGAAUUGUCACUAACCGAUGCGGUGGUCAAUGACGGUCUUAACCAUAAGGAUCUGAAAGUAGCGAAAUUCCUUGGCCAUUAAAUGUGGUCCUGCAUGAAUGAGGUAACGUGGCCCUGCUGUCUCCACUAGUUUCUCAGUGAAAUUGAAUUAGCCGUGCAGAUGCGGUUUGCCUUCCGGAGGACGCGAAGACCCUAUGCAGCUUUACUGUAAUUUGAUAUUGUUUUUGAUUGGAUUUAGUGUAGAAUACAAGGGAGUGUAAACGUCAGUGAAAUACCUUGAUAAAUCACAAUUGAAAACUAACUUGAUAAAAAGUUAUCUAAGGAUAACUUCGAGGACAGUUUCAGAGGGUCAGUUUUACUGGGGCGGUAGCCUCUAAGAAAGUAUCAGAGGCCUUCAAAGGUAUAUUUAUAUUGGUCAGAAACCAAUGGACAUCUAUUUGUCUAAUAAAGUGUAAUGAUUAAAUAUGCUUGACUGAAAGACUGAUAGGUCGAUCAGCUACGCAAGUAGGACAUAGUGAUCCGGUGAUACAUAAUGGAAUGAUCAUCGCUCAAGAAAUAAAAGUUACGCUAGGGAUAACAGGUUUAUCGUUUGCAAGAGUUCAUAUUGUCCAAACGGUUUGACACCUCGAUGUCGACUCUUCUCAUCCUCCAGGUGUAGUAGCUUGGAAGGGUUCAGCUGUUCGCUGAGUAAAGAGGAACGUGAGUUGGGUUUAAUACGACGUGAGUCAGUAUAGAUUCUAUCCUCGGAAGGGAUAAAGAAUGAAAGGAGAACCUCUAAUUAGUACGAAAGGACCAUUAGGGAUAAUUCAAUGGUGUCUCUGUUGUUGAAGAAAUUUAGCACAGCAGAGUAGCUACAAUUAUAAAAGAGAAGUACUGAAAGCAUCUCAAGUGCGAAACAGAUCUCUGGACAUUCUUAAGAUCAAUUAUCAAAAGAUAAUUGGUUGAAAUAAGAAGAAGACUACUUCUUAAUUUAGGGUGCAAAUGUAUGUUUAGCACUACUAAUGUAUUGAAUAACUUA
rnacentral:rRNA from 1 species